GAUGAACGCUAGCGGCAGGCUUAACACAUGCAAGUCGAGGGGUAGAGGAAGCUUGCUUCCUUGAGACCGGCGCACGGGUGCGUAACGCGUAUACAAUCUACCUUUUACAGAGGGAUAGCCCCAGAGAAAUUUGGAUUAAUACCUCAUAGUAUUUUUGAAUCGCAUGAUUUGAUUAUUAAAGUUCCAACGGUAAAGAUGAGUAUGCGUCCCAUUAGCUAGAUGGUAAGGUAACGACUUACCAAGGCAACGAUGGGUAGGGGUCCUGAGAGGGAGAUCCCCCANACUGGUACUGAGACACGGACCAGACUCCUACGGGAGGCAGCAGUGAGGAAUAUUGGACAAUGGGCGCAAGCCUGAUCCAGCCAUGCCGCGUGCAGGAUGACGGUCUAUGGAUUGUAAACUGCUUUUAAUACA
rnacentral:rRNA from 1 species